rnacentral:rRNA from 1 species
GUCCUUUGGACAAUGGUAGGAGAGCGUUCUAAGGGCGUUGAAGCAUGAUCGUAAGGACAUGUGGAGCGCUUAGAAGUGAGAAUGCCGGUGUGAGUAGUGAAAGACGGGUGAGAAUCCCGUCCACCGAUUGACUAAGGUUUCCAGAGGAAGGCUCGUCCGCUCUGGGUUAGUCGGGUCCUAAGCUGAGGCCGACAGGCGUAGGCGAUGGAUAACAGGUUGAUAUUCCUGUACCACCUAUAAUCGUUUUAAUCGAUGGGGGGACGCAGUAGGAUAGGCGAAGCGUGCGAUUGGAUUGCACGUCUAAGCAGUAAGGCUGAGUAUUAGGCAAAUCCGGUACUCGUUAAGGCUGAGCUGUGAUGGGGAGAAGACAUUGUGUCUUCGAGUCGUUGAUUUCACACUGCCGAGAAAAGCCUCUAGAUAGAAAAUAGGUGCCCGUACCGCAAACCGACACAGGUAGUCAAGAUGAGAAUUCUAAGGUGAGCGAGCGAACUCUCGUUAAGGAACUCGGCAAAAUGACCCCGUAACUUCGGGAGAAGGGGUGCUCUUUAGGGUUAACGCCCAGAAGAGCCGCAGUGAAUAGGCCCAAGCGACUGUUUAUCAAAAACACAGGUCUCUGCUAAACCGUAAGGUGAUGUAUAGGGGCUGACGCCUGCCCGGUGCUGGAAGGUUAAGAGGAGUGGUUAGCUUCUGCGAAGCUACGAAUCGAAGCCCCAGUAAACGGCGGCCGUAACUAUAACGGUCCUAAGGUAGCGAAAUUCCUUGUCGGGUAAGUUCCGACCCGCACGAAAGGCGUAACGAUUUGGGCACUGUCUCAACGAGAGACUCGGUGAAAUCAUAGUACCUGUGAAGAUGCAGGUUACCCGCGACAGGACGGAAAGACCCCGUGGAGCUUUACUGUAGCCUGAUAUUGAAAUUCGGCACAGCUUGUACAGGAUAGGUAGGAGCCUUUGAAACGUG